rnacentral:rRNA from 1 species
AUGAACACAUCCAACAAAAAACACCCUUUGCAGGCCUGGCUGGCUGGGAAGCUGCAUGUGAGCCGGUUACAAGAAUCAAUGGAUGGAUGGAUCAGUGAGUUUCCGACGCCCGUGCGACACUGGAGCAUCCGUGUGGGGGUCCUUUACAGCUUAUGCGGCCACCUUCUCCUCGUCCUCACGGCCGGAAGACGGCGGCAUGAGGCCUUUGCUCUGUCACCGUUGGUGGCUACCGUGUUAGCGGACGGUAUCGACAAAUUCGUCAUCACCCUAUUGUUUAUUAGCGACAAAACAUCAAGGGAGCAGCAACUCUCCGCGUUCUGGUUGCCCUUCCUCCUAAUUCAUAUCAGUCGCCCGGACAACAUCAGCGGUUUUUCCAUUGAGGAGAAUGUGUUUUCGCCUAGCCAGAUGUUGAGUGCUGAUGCUGCUAUCUUGGGAGCCUCCAAUGCCCUGUACGUCCAUGUAAUUCGCUCCCGUCCCAGUGCCGGGACCUUGGUGCCAGCGUCCUUCCUCAUGUACGCAUUGGGUAUUUUCAAGUACUUGGAGAGGAUAAAUGCACAAAGGAGAGGCAACUUGAACAGCAUCAAGAUCUUAAUGAAGAUGAAGAAUCAGCAAAGGAGAUUCAGUUUCCAUCACACUGGUGUCCAUGGGCCCCUGGAUAAUGAUCAAGCCCUGCUUGUCGCUCACAGCAUGCUUCCUAUCACCAAAUGUGCCUUUUGUGACUGCUCGGUGGACAUGGAUCCUAACGUCCGCGAAACCGGCAGAAAGAUAUUGUCUUGUGGAUGGGAGAGUAUGUGCAAGGUGGUGGAGAUGGAGCUCUCCCUCAUGUACGACCUCAUAUACACCAAGGCAACCGUCAUCCACGUCUGGCCUGGCUACAUCAUCCGCAUCGUCUCCCCGCUAAUCAUCUGCGCCAUGCUAUUUCUGUUAACUGCUUAUGAUAAAGAAUCCCAAACAGUAGAAGAUAUUGUUAUCACUUACAUAUUGGUGGUCUCCACCUUACUACUGGAUGUAAGAUGGCUGCUGGGAGCACUAGGGUCAACCUGGGCAUAUACAUUCUUCAAAGAAUCGAGAUGGCAGUGGCUAAAGCAUGCAGUUGUCUGUGAUGGAAGAUGGCACCGGCUCCGUACCAUUGUAGUGUCUAUGAGCUCCAGGUUCGACAUGAAGCAGCCAAGUAGCUACAGGUUGUGGCGAGGAAUCAUGGGCCAGUACAACUUGUUGCAUGAGUGCACUCGUCACAACGACAAUCCAAUAAGUGUAAGUAGUAUGAUGGGCUUGUUCUACCUCCAACCACAGGAGAGCAUGAUGCAGCACGAAUACCAUGACAGACGUGGCUUUAGGAUUCCACAAGAUUUGAAGGGUCUGUUGUUCGAACGCAUAUGGGAAAAGUUGAAGUUAUCAUACACACCCGGCAAGGUUCAGGAGGAAGAAGUUGUGCAGUUUGAUCCUGAUGAGUUGCAAGAGCUCAUUCUUAUCUGGCACAUGGCAACGGACAUUUUCCUCCAAAAGGUCACCUUUGCAGAUGAAAAAUCUCAAAAAUAUGUGAAGUUGAUCAGCAAGCUGUCUAACUACCUGGUGUUCCUCGUGGUUGUAUGCCCCAACAUGCUACCGGUCCGUAAGCUGCCAAGCAAGUAUGAAGAAACCAACAAAGCGUUGAGGGACUAUUUGAGUGAUGAAAAGAGGCCUCCUAGUUGCAAAACAAGAGAGCAGAAGAUUGCCUUUAUCCUGGAACAGAUGGGGGACGGAAAUAGUACUAGUAGCAUUGUUCUGUCGGAUGGUAAUCAAUAUGCCGGUGUGCUACGAAGCUGUUUUGCCGAAGGGGGGUAUAUCGACCUAGUUGAGAAGAUGGGGGAAAAGUCCCGCCGAAGAUUUAAGAAGUUGAUGCCGGGAUUGUGUUCUUACUCUGAGUUGGUCACCGAUGAAGAACUGUUGUUGAAUCUCAUCUUUGAUGCAUGGGUACUUUUGCUCAUGAAUGCGUCCAAAGGGUCUAGCAGGGAUUCCCAUGCCAAGCAGCUCGGCCAUGGCGGCGACCUCGUAACCAUAGUGUGGAUCAUGACAAUACAUGCCAACAUAUUUGGCAUCCAAGAGGAAAAUAACGGGGUUGUCAGUGUAAGUCCUCUGCUCCUCCAUGUGAGGAGGCUACAUUCAGGCUUGUGGUCAAACCAUGGUUCGAUGUAUGGCAGCUGCCGAUUGCUAUCUGUGAACCAGUGCAAUUCACACGAGGUGAGGCGCGUCGCCGCUCCCCUCCAUUGGUGA